rnacentral:misc_RNA from 1 species
UUGUUAUCAGAAGACAUAAACAUAAUCUAAGUUAAGGUAGAAAUGUUCGGUUUGUGUGGUAGAGUAGUGUAGUAGGAGAGUGGUCGAGUCCUGCGCACCCCGUCGUUCACCUCCCCAACCCUUAACUAACGCUCUACGGCUUGGGGUUUGUCGUUUCCGUCGCAAUUCUACAACAGGGAGGUUUAUCGUGUGGUUUUAGUUGGUUUGAGUUGGAUUCUAUCUUUACAAUGUCGCGGGGCAGAGAUCGUGGUCGCCGCCGCACUCGUAGUCGGAGUCGCAGCAGGAGUAGAAGCAGGGGACGCAACAACUCUCCAGGUCGAAGAGGUGUGUCUGAUGUUACAUCUGACCCAAAGACUGUUAAUGCGAGAAUCUUUGUCGGAAGUAUCAAUGUUUCCAUGACUCGAGAGAUGCUAGAAGAAUAUUUCUCCAAGUACGGCAAAGUUGUUGGAGUGUCAAUCACAAGAAACAAAUUUGGGUUUGUGCAGUUUGCAGAUGAGGAUGAAGCUACAGCCUGCCUUUCUACUGGUAGCACUGCUUAUAUAAAAGGACAUAGAGUAGAUGUAAAACCAGCCAAAUUUGGAGGUGGAAUGGGCAUGGGUCCACCUCCUGGUGCAAGGCGGCGUCUUGGCAACAGCAGAGAAAAGUCUCCCCUACAAGGUAGGGGAGAAGAGGACUAUUACACCGAGUAUUAUGGACGUGGGACUCGAAGUGGCAGUCGUGAGCGUGACCGUGACUCUCGAGGUCAAGCUGAUUACGAGGACAUGUUUGAUGAUUACUACCGAGGAUAUUACCAGCGAUACGAAGACACCUACCAACAACACCCCGAGGCUCCAGAGGUAGACGGUCGACCUCCACCGGCACCAGUACCUGCUUACCCAAGUUACUCGGAACCAAUUGAUCCACUUGAUCCUAACAGGCCCAAUGAUGUGGAAAUUGUUGUCCCAAACAAAAUGCAGAGGGAUUAUGCAGAGAACAUUGAAGCACAGUUAAAGUCGUUGAAUAUGAUUGUCGACCUCUUGUUUCCACCGCCGGACAUCCCACCGUCACAAGUGUUAACAGACCUCAGCCAGCGACGGUGUCUGUACGCCAUCUUUGUGACGGGAGAUAAUGAGAACCAUCGGUCCCUGACACUAAACAUCCUUCAUAGCACCCCACAAGAACACCGCAACAUGCCGGUUGAUGAUGCUUUGCGUUUAAUUGAACAAAAUUUUGGAGAGUAUGUGAAGAAAGCCCGUCAACGGAAUAUUCGUGAAGUCGUGCCCCGAGAUAUUCGCAAUUUGCUCCAUGAUUUACUUGAGAUGCGUCCCCUCUCCAUGGGUGACUUGGACAAGUUGAUCAAGUACCUGAAGGAGCGUCAAAGUGUGCUGGUGGAUGAUCAAAUUGAGCAGAAGCGCGAGACUGCAGCAGGUGAGCGAAUCACACAGCGAUAACCGACCUGAAGUCGUGUGUAGGAGAAGGCCUGCCGUUCGUGUGGACACAGUUGCUCAAAGGUUUCACCGUGUGUGCUUUGAUAUCUGUACACCUGCAAGCUCAACAGGACUGCCAACCAUCCUCCCAUCCCUUCCUGUUAUCAUCUCGAGCGGUGACUCUG